rnacentral:tRNA from 1 species
GCCGAUGUGGCGGAACUGGUAGACGCGCUGGAUUCAAAAUCCAGUUCCUGCAAGGGAGUGGGGGUUCGAUUCCCCCCAUCGGUACUA